UACGUAGGGUGCAAGCGUUAAUCGGAAUUACUGGGCGUAAAGCGUGCGCAGGCGGCUUUGCAAGACAGAUGUGAAAUCCCCGGGCUCAACCUGGGAACUGCAUUUGUGACUGCAUGGCUGGAGUGCGGCAGAGGGGGAUGGAAUUCCGCGUGUAACAGUGAAAUGCGUAGAUAUGCGGAGGAACACCGAUGGCGAAGGCAAUCCCCUGGGCCUGCACUGACGCUCAUGCACGAAAGCCAGGGGAGCGAACGGG
rnacentral:rRNA from 1 species